UACGGAGGGUGCAAGCGUUACUCGGAAUUACUGGGCGUAAAGCGCACGCAGGUGGCUGAGUCCGUCGGUUGUGAAAGCCCUGGGCUUAACCUGGGAAUUGCAGUCGAUACUACUCAGCUAGAGUAUGGGAGAGGGUAGUGGAAUUCCCGGUGUAGCGGUGAAAUGCGUAGAUAUCGGGAGGAACAUCAGUGGCGAAGGCGGCUUCCUGGACCAGAACUGACGAUCAGGCACGAAAGCGUGGGGAGCAAACAGG
rnacentral:rRNA from 1 species